UUUCGCAAUGCCCGAAAGGGUGACGAAGCGACGCCGCGUGUGGGAAGAAGGCCUUCGGGUUGUAAACCACUGUCGGGAGUUAGGAAAUGUAAGGGUGCUAAUAGUAUCCUUACUUGACUAAGGCUCCGGAGGAAGCCACGGCUAACUCUGUGCCAGCAGCCGCGGUAAUACAGAGGCGGCAAGCGUUGUUCGGAAUUAUUGGGCGUAAAGAGCACGUAGGCGGCCUUGUAAGUCAGUUGUGAAAGCCUUCUGCUUAACGGAAGAACAGCAGCUGAUAUUGCAAGGCUAGAGUGCGGAAGGGGAGAGUGGAACUUCUGGUGGAGCGGUGAAAUGCGUAGAUAUCAGAAGGAACACCGGCGGCGAAGGCGACUCUCUGGUCCGUAACUGACGCUGAGUGUGCGAAAGCUAGGGGAGCAAACGGGAUUAGAUACCCCGGUAGUCCUAGCCGUAAACGAUGGGCACUAAGUAGAGGGGUUUUA
rnacentral:rRNA from 1 species